AUGAGAGUCGGAGGCAGACCCGGACCAGCAAGGAUGAAGACCUCUCCUCCGGCUUACCCGAAGCAUCAAGGAAGCGCCGGACCGAGGUUAUCUCCGACUUAUAUCCUUUUCAUCCUUUGGCUGGCGUCACUCGUCAACCACUCAAUUCUUCCGAUUCAAACUAUCAGGGAACUUCACCUUCCUCCGGCGACUCCAUGCAGUCUAGCUUGCCGGCUUUCAAACCCGCACCUGGGUAAUGAUGAUCAGCUUAUUUUGUGCUUAUCUUACUCAUGUUUUUGCACUAACCCUUCGACUUUCAGUGUACAAGUAAAGCCCAGCAAGAGGGCGAAGAAAAAUAAACCGGCCGAAGAGCCGGUCCUGACUGAACCUGAUGCUUCUGCUCAUGAGCCGCCGUCUGCACCAGCUCCUGAAACCACCACUGCUCCAUCUGAUGAACAAGUUAUGGAAGGUUCUGAUAACCCGGAGAUCCCCAGCCCGGCUCAUCCAGAUGAUCCGGACGUUGUAAUUACCCGGACCGAGUUUGUUGAACCGGGAAGACCCACCGUGUUGGCUACGUGCUCUGCCAAGGAAGAACUUCUGGAACGCCGCAGGGCCAGACUGGACAUCACUGAUUAUGCUAAUCUGAGCAUUGGAGAUAUUGUCUCUGGCUAUAUUAAUCAAGUGCACAACAGCCGGGACCUGGAAACUAAUAUGGUGAAGCAAAUACAGCAAAAGUCUGAGGCCGCCUGUAAGAAAUUUGAAUCGGAAAUCUCUGAUCUAAAGAACCGCCUGAAGACUCAGGAAAGUGAAACCCAAAAGGCCAACUCCAAAUUUGAAUUCAGUGUAUCUACACAAGAGAAACUGAAGAAAAAGUUUGAAGCAGAAAGAAAAGCCUGGGCGGAUGAAAAAACUGCUUUGCUCAGCCGGCCGAACAAGCGGAAGCCACUCUUACUGAAAGAACCGCCGAGCUAUCCGGAUUAA
rnacentral:rRNA from 1 species